CUAGCUCGUAAUAUGUACGAGCGGGCUG
rnacentral:sRNA from 1 species